GGCGAAGGUGGCGGAAUUGGUAGACGCGCUAGCUUCAGGUGUUAGUGUUCUUACGGACGUGGGGGUUCAAGGUCCCCCCCUCGCCACCA
rnacentral:tRNA from 1 species